UGCCAGACUCCUACGGGAGGCAGCAGUGGGGGAUAUUGCACAAUGGGGGAAACCCUGAUGCAGCGACGCCGCGUGGGUGAAGAAGCGCCUCGGUGCGUAAAGCCCUAUCGGCAGGGAAGAAACAGACGGUACCUGACUAAGAAGCCCCGGCUAACUACGUGCCAGCAGCCGCGGUAAUACGUAGGGGGCAAGCGUUAUCCGGAUUCACUGGGUGUAAAGGGAGCGUAGACGGCGACGCAAGUCUGGAGUGAAAGCCCGGGGCCCAACCCCGGGACUGCUCUGGAAACUGCGUCGCUGGAGUGCGGGAGGGGCAGGCGGAAUUCCUGGUGUAGCGGUGAAAUGCGUAGAUAUCAGGAGGAACACCGGCGGCGAAGGCGGCCUGCUGGACCGUGACUGACGUUGAGGCUCGAGAGCGUGGGGAGCAAACAGGAUUAGAUCCCCGUGUA
rnacentral:rRNA from 1 species